rnacentral:lncRNA from 9 species
CUGUCAUCAGGAAUUUGGUCCGACUCCCACGCACUCCUAGAGGCAGCGAGGGGGAGGGGAAGGAUGCGGGAGGCAGAACUCCUGAGGGAGAGGAUGUGGCUGUCGGGCGGCUCUCCCAGGCUCCCUGCCUUGCACAGGCUGUGGGAGGGGACCACGGAGGCGAGGCGGCUACUCUGGUCUCCAGAGAUUGACUCCCGCUGACUGCCCCCCCCCACCCCGGCCCCAGGUCGCUGGGGAGGGACCCUUGGGAGAGACAGCAGAGGCUGGGAGGAUGCAGCCCGCCUUAUGCUGGCUGGAGGAAGGCCUCCCCGUUUCACACUCAUCCCGCCUGGGGGCAGGGCCCGGCGCUCCAGGGUCCAGCCGGCCCAGGACUGGGCUCCGCACCACACUCGCCCCCCAACUUAUCCCCCACCCUGCCACUGGGGCUGUGGCACAGAGAUGGCAAACACCCCCCAAGGCCUUGUGCCAGGUAAUUACCAAGCAAAUUCCCGGCGAUUUCCUCUCCCCACCCUGGGCAGCGCCUGCUGCGCGUUCCCUGAUUCGGGCCCCGGCUGUGCAAUCAGCGCCCGGGAACCUGCGGGGACCCGUAAUUGCUCUGGAGUUGCCCAGGACUUUGCAAGGCUGGCCUAGGAAACUUUCUACUGUGAAUAAGGCUGCUGUACCUGCCAUGCCAAGUUCCAAGCAGCUGAUGUAUUAA